GACGUAGGGCGCGAGCGUUGUCCGGAUUUAUUGGGCGUAAAGAGCUCGUAGGCGGCUUGUCGCGUCGACUGUGAAAACCCGUGGCUCAACCAUGUGGUCUGCAGUCGAUACGGGCAGGCUAGAAUUCGGUAGGGGAGACUGGAAUUCCUGGUGUAGCGGUGAAAUGCGCAGAUAUCAGGAGGAACACCGGUGGCGAAGGCGGGUCUCUGGGCCAUUACUGACGCUGAGGAGCGAAAGCGUGGGGAGCGAACAGG
rnacentral:rRNA from 1 species